rnacentral:rRNA from 1 species
GACGAACGCUGGCGGCGUGCUUAACACAUGCAAGUCGAACGGAAAGGCCCGGCUUUUGGGGGCUGCUCUAGGUGCGAACGGGUGAUUAACACGUGGGUAACCUGCCCUUUACUGUGAGAUAACUUCAUGAAACUGGGUCUAAUACCGCAUAGGAGCUCCUGCUGCAGGGUGGGCGUGCGUAAGUUUCGGCGGUUGGGGAGGUAAUCGCGGCUUAUCCGCUUGAUGGUGGGGUAGUGUAUUACCAUGCCUUUGACGGGUAGCCGGGCUGGGAGGGGGAGCGGCUACAUUGGGCUUGAGAUGCGGCCCAGACUACUAUCGGAGGCAGCAGUGGGGAAUAUUGUACAAUGGGCGGAGGGCUAAUGUAGCAAAGCCGCGUGGGGGAUGACGGGCAGCGGGUUGUAUUCCGCAUCUGCCUGUGCCGAAGCGUGAGUGACGGUAACGGGUAAAGAAGCACCGGCUAACUACGUG